rnacentral:rRNA from 1 species
UACGUAGGGGCUAGCGUUGUCCGGAUUUAUUGGGCGUAAAGAGCGUGUAGGCGGCCAGGUAGGUCUGCUGUGAAACUCGAGGCUCAACCUCGAGACGUCGGCGGAAACCAUCUGGCUAGAGUCCGGAAGAGGAGAGUGGAAUUCCUGGUGUAGCGGUGAAAUGCGCAGAUAUCAGGAAGAACACCCGUGGCGAAGGCGGCUCUCUGGGACGGUACUGACGCUGAGACGCGAAGCGUGGGGAGCGAACAGG